GACGAACGCUGGCGGCGUGCCUAAUACAUGCAAGUUGAGCGCUGAAGGUUGGUACUUGUUCCAACUGGAUGAGCAGCGAACGGGUGAGUAACGCGUGGGGAAUCUGCCUUUGAGCGGGGGACAACAUUUGGAAACGAAUGCUAAUACCGCAUAAAAACUUUAAACACAAGGUUUAAGUUUGAAAGAUGCAAUUGCAUCACUCAAAGAUGAUCCCGCGUUGUAUUAGCUAGUUGGUGAGGUAAAGGCUCACCAAGGCGAUGAUACAUAGCCGACCUGAGAGGGUGGUCGGCCACAUUGGGACUGGGACACGGCCCAAGCUCCUACGGGAGGCAGCAGUAGGGAAUCUUCGGCAAUGGACGAAAGUCUGACCGAGCAACGCCGCGUGGGUGAAGAAGGUUUUCGGAUCGGAAAACUCUGUUGGUAGGGAAGAACGUUGGUGGGAGUGGAAAGCUCAUCAAGUGACGGUAACUACCCAGAAAGGGACGGCUAACUACGUG
rnacentral:rRNA from 1 species